UGGACCGUCUCACAUGGGUGUGGACGUGGGUGCAAAGUAGGCACCAUAUAAGGCACCAAUCCUUUCUCAUAUAGGAGUCCUUCUUUAAUAAGUAGUGGACUGAUUCAAAGCUUAUUUGAAUUAAGAGUCUUAUAUUUAUUUGGUCAUGAAAUUCAUCUAUAAAUAGAGAGAGUCUCUACCUAUGGAUGCAUAAGAGAGCAUAGAAAUUAGAUUAAAAGAAAGAGAGAAGAGAGAG
rnacentral:lncRNA from 1 species